rnacentral:lncRNA from 1 species
UAUUUUUUAAUGCAAGAUUUAAGGUGUGCACUACAGAAAGAGUCCAAUAGAUUGAAGCAAAUUCUAACUCUACGAGGGUACAUGUUAUUUUUCAUAUUCCUACAUUAUUCAUUUUUAUUUGUGUCGCAUUUGUCGACUCAUUCAAAUUCCUACAUUAUUCAUUAUUAUUUUUGUCAUAUUUGUCCACUCAACCUCCAUAAUUGCGUCUCUCAUGUGCUUAAGAGUAAAAUUUGUAUCAUUUAUCUAUUCUUAUCUCAUCAUAUCCAUUAAAAAACAUUGGUCCAGUCUCACAAAUAAUCAUAUAAUGAAAGUUGCUCCCUCCACCACCUCAAGUGACUCCCUCCACCUCCCCAAAUUUUCUUUUAUUCCAAAAUUACCAUUUCUUACAUCUACUAUUUACCUUUUCAACUUUUACUGUUAAAACCCUAAUCCCUUCCCCCACUUCUCAUUUUCACUUUCAGGUUGCAGCUACUCUCACUUUCUUUCUCUUUUUCUCUGCAAUCCACCCCCACCCCCCAUUUCCCUUUCUUUGUUUCUAUCAUUUUCUCUUUUUCUCUAACCCCCCC